rnacentral:rRNA from 1 species
GACGAACGCUGGCGGCGUGCUUAACACAUGCAAGUCGAACGGAAAGGCCCUGCUUUUGUGGGGUGCUCGAGUGGCGAACGGGUGAGUAACACGUGAGUAACCUGCCCUUGACUUUGGGAUAACUUCAGGAAACUGGGGCUAAUACCGGAUAGGAGCUCCUGCUGCAUGGUGGGGGUUGGAAAGUUUCGGCGGUUGGGGAUGGACUCGCGGCUUAUCCGCUUGUUGGGGGGGUAGUGGCUUACCAAGGCUUUGACGGGUAGCCGGCCUGAGAGGGUGACCGGCGACAUUGGGACUGAGAUACGGCGCAGACUCCUACGGGAGGCAGCAGUGGGGAAUAUUGCACAAUGGGCGGAAGCCUGAUGCAGCAACGCCGCGUGCGGGAUGACGGCCUUCGGGUUGUAAACCGCUUUCGCCUGUGACGAAGCGUGAGUGACGGUAAUGGGUAAAGAAGCACCGGCUAACUACGUG